rnacentral:misc_RNA from 1 species
GAUGAAGAACGUAGUGAAAUGCGAUAAGUAGUGUGAAUUGCAGAAUUCAGUGAAUCAUCGAAUCUUUGAACGCACAUUGCGCCCUUUGGUAUUCCAAAGGGCAUGCCUGUUCGAGCGUCAUUUGUACCCUCAAGCUUUGCUUGGUGUUGGGCGUCUUGUCUCUAGCUUUGCUGGAGACUCGCCUUAAAGUAAUUGGCAGCCGGCCUACUGGUUUCGGAGCGCAGCACAAGUCGCACUCUCUAUCAGCAAAGGUCUAGCAUCCAUUAAGCCUUUUUUUCAACUUUUGACCUCGGAUCAGGUAGGGAUACCCGCUGAACUUAAGCAUAUCAAUAAGCGGAGGGA